CAUGCGCACAGAGCGCCGGCGGUCUCCGUUUGUUUGAACAGGAAGGCGGACAUAUUAGUCCCUCUGAGCCCUCCUCGCCCCACCCCCAGGCAUUCGCCUCCGCGACUCGCCCUUUUCCCAGCUCGGACCGCGGCCCCUCCCAGAAGUUCCCGCAUCAUCAGCCGCACGGCCCCUACGGUCGUCUUCCUCGCCGGCCCACUGCAGCGGGUCUUCCCCUGAGACUUCAUCGGGCCUCCGACCUCGCCCUGCCCCGCCAGACACCGCGUUAGCAACCCCAGCAGCGACCGCAGAAAAUGGGAGAGUGAGCCUGUUCUGUGGGGAGCAGCUCUUGGCCGAGGCUAGUCAGUGCCGGGCCGAGUGGAACCGGGGAUGCAGGGCUAGACCACCUCUAGCGCCUCUGAGCGGAGCGGGGCCGGCCCGGGGCCCAGGCGGCGGCGGCGGCGGCGGCGGCAGCUGGCGCAGCUCCUCACCCACCCUUCGCUUUCGCCUUUCCUCUUCGCCUUCCCUGGCUGCCCCGAGGGAGUCUCCACCCUGCUGCGCUCCCUCUUCCCGCCGCUGCCCUUCUCUGGACUGGGCCCCGCCAUGGCGAAGGCAGCCGGGGCCCGCUAGGCUGAGGUGCCUCGCCGGAGCGACCGGGCUGCUGGCGACGGCGCUGUCGGCUGUCGCGAGGGGCUGCCGGGUGGGAUGCGACUUUGGGUGUCCGAGCGGCUGCGGGUCGCUGUCACACCGAGCCUGGGGUCUGGAGAGCAGAGGUCCCCUCAGUGAGGGGGACGAGGGGGAACCGGGCGCACCUGGUGACCCCGAGGUUCCGGCUCCUCUGCCCUGCGGCUACAAACCCACCGCGGAGGAAGUUGGUUGAACUUGCUUUCCGCUGCGGGCAAGAAGGUAUCGUCACAAGUAGCAGCAUCAUGUCGACUGGGGACAGUUUUGAGACUCGGUUUGAAAAAAUCGACAACCUGCUGCGGGAUCCCAAAUCGGAAGUGAAUUCAGAUUGUUUGCUGGAUGGAUUGGAUGCCCUGGUUUAUGAUUUGGAUUUUCCUGCCUUAAGAAAAAACAAAAAUAUUGACAACUUUCUAAGCAGAUAUAAAGACACAAUAAAUAAAAUUAGAGAUUUACGGAUGAAAGCAGAAGAUUAUGAAGUGGUAAAGGUAAUCGGCAGAGGUGCAUUUGGAGAAGUUCAAUUGGUGAGGCAUAAAUCCACUAGGAAGGUUUAUGCUAUGAAGCUGCUCAGCAAAUUUGAAAUGAUUAAGAGAUCGGAUUCUGCUUUUUUCUGGGAAGAAAGGGACAUCAUGGCGUUUGCCAAUAGUCCUUGGGUUGUUCAGCUUUUUUAUGCAUUCCAAGAUGACCGGUAUCUCUACAUGGUGAUGGAGUACAUGCCUGGCGGAGACCUUGUCAACCUGAUGAGCAACUAUGACGUGCCUGAAAAAUGGGCAAGAUUCUAUACUGCAGAAGUAGUUCUUGCAUUGGAUGCAAUCCAUUCCAUGGGUUUUAUUCAUAGAGAUGUAAAGCCUGAUAACAUGCUGCUGGAUAAGUCUGGACAUUUGAAGUUAGCAGAUUUUGGUACUUGUAUGAAGAUGAAUAAGGAAGGUAUGGUACGAUGUGACACAGCAGUUGGAACACCUGAUUAUAUCUCACCCGAAGUAUUAAAAUCCCAAGGCGGUGAUGGCUAUUAUGGACGAGAGUGUGACUGGUGGUCAGUUGGGGUAUUUCUAUAUGAAAUGCUCGUAGGUGACACACCUUUCUAUGCAGAUUCUUUGGUUGGGACUUACAGUAAAAUUAUGAACCAUAAAAAUUCACUUACUUUCCCUGAUGAUAAUGACAUAUCAAAAGAGGCAAAAAAUCUCAUUUGUGCCUUCCUUACAGACAGAGAAGUGAGAUUGGGCAGAAAUGGUGUAGAGGAAAUCAAACGUCAUCUCUUCUUCAAAAAUGAUCAGUGGGCUUGGGAAACGCUCCGAGACACUGUAGCACCAGUUGUGCCUGAUUUAAGUAGUGACAUUGAUACUAGUAAUUUUGAUGACUUAGAAGAAGAUAAAGGAGAUGAAGAAACAUUUCCUAUUCCAAAAGCUUUUGUUGGCAAUCAGCUACCUUUUGUAGGAUUUACAUAUUAUAGCAAUCGUAGAUACUUACCUUCAGCAAAUGCCAGUGAGAACAGAUCUAGCUCCAAUGUGGAUAAAAGCUUGCAGGAAAGUUUACAGAAAACAAUCUACAAGCUUGAAGAGCAACUGCAUAAUGAAAUGCAAUUAAAAGAUGAAAUGGAGCAGAAAUGCAGAACUUCAAACUUAAAACUAGACAAGAUAAUGAAAGAAUUGGAUGAAGAGGGGAAUCAAAGAAGAAAUCUAGAAUCUGCAGUGUCUCAAAUUGAGAAAGAAAAGAUGUUGCUACAACAUAGAAUUAAUGAGUACCAAAGAAAAGUGGAACAGGAAAAUGAGAAGAGAAGAAAUAUAGAAAAUGAAGUUUCUACACUAAAGGACCAGUUAGAAGACUUACGGAAAGCAAGUCAGACCUCACAGCUUGCUAAUGAGAAGCUGACACAGUUACAGAAGCAGUUAGAAGAAGCGAAUGACUUACUUAGGACAGAAUCAGACACAGCUGUAAGAUUAAGGAAGAGUCACACAGAGAUGAGCAAGUCAAUUAGUCAGCUAGAGUCCCUGAACAGAGAAUUACAGGAAAGAAACAGAAUUUUAGAGAAUUCCAAGUCACAAGCAGACAAGGAUUACUACCAGCUGCAAGCUGUAUUGGAAGCUGAGCGAAGAGACAGAGGGCAUGAUUCUGAGAUGAUUGGAGACCUUCAAGCACGAAUUACAUCUUUACAAGAAGAAGUGAAACAUCUCAAACAUAAUCUUGAAAGAGUGGAAGGAGAAAGAAAAGAGGCUCAAGACAUGCUUAAUCAUUCAGAAAAGGAAAAGAAUAAUUUGGAGAUAGAUUUGAAUUACAAGCUCAAGUCUAUACAACAGCGGUUAGAACAAGAAGUAAAUGAACAUAAAGUCACCAAAGCACGCCUAACUGACAAGCACCAAUCUAUCGAAGAGGCAAAGUCUGUUGCCAUGUGUGAAAUGGAAAAAAAGCUGAAGGAAGAGAGAGAAGCUCGAGAGAAGGCAGAAAAUAGAGUUGUUGAGACUGAGAAACAAUGUUCCAUGCUAGAUGUUGACCUGAAACAGUCUCAGCAGAAGCUAGAACAUUUGACCGAAAAUAAAGAAAGGAUGGAGGAUGAAGUUAAGAAUCUCGCCCUGCAGCUGGAACAGGAAUCAAAUAAACGGCUCUUGUUACAGAAUGAAUUGAAGACUCAAGCAUUUGAAGCAGACAAUUUAAAAGGUUUAGAAAAACAGAUGAAACAGGAAAUAAAUACUUUAUUGGAAGCAAAGAGAUUGUUAGAAUUUGAGUUAGCUCAGCUUACAAAGCAAUAUAGGGGAAAUGAAGGGCAAAUGCGGGAGUUACAAGAUCAACUUGAAGCUGAGCAGUAUUUCUCUACACUUUAUAAAACCCAAGUAAAGGAGCUUAAAGAAGAAAUUGAAGAAAAAAACCGAGAAAAUUUAAGGAAAAUACAGGAACUGCAAAGUGAAAAAGAAACUCUCUCUACUCAGUUGGAUUUAGCAGAAACAAAAGCUGAGUCUGAGCAGCUGGCGCGAGGGAUUCUGGAAGAACAGUAUUUUGAGUUGACUCAGGAAAGCAAGAAAGCUGCUUCAAGAAAUAGACAAGAGAUUACAGAUAAAGAUCAUACUGUUAGUCGGCUUGAAGAAACAAACAGUGUGCUAACCAAAGAUAUUGAAAUGCUAAGAAAAGAAAAUGAAGAGCUAAAUGAAAGAAUGAGGACAGCAGAAGAAGAAUAUAAAUUGAAGAAGGAGGAAGAAAUAAAUAAUCUUAAGGCUGCUUUUGAAAAGAAUAUCAGUACCGAACGGACCCUUAAAACACAGGCUGUUAACAAGUUGGCAGAAAUAAUGAAUCGCAAAGAUUUUAAAAUUGAUCGAAAGAAAGCUAAUACACAAGAUUUAAGAAAAAAAGAAAAGGAAAAUAGAAAGCUACAACUGGAACUUAACCAAGAGAGAGAAAAAUUUAACCAAAUGGUGGUGAAACACCAGAAGGAGCUGAAUGACAUGCAAGCGCAAUUGGUAGAAGAAUGUACACAUAGAAAUGAACUUCAAAUGCAGUUGGCUAGCAAAGAGAGUGAUAUUGAGCAGUUGCGGGCAAAACUUUUGGACCUUUCGGAUUCAACUAGUGUUGCUAGUUUUCCUAGUGCAGAUGAAACUGAUGGAAACCUUCCAGUUGAUUCUGCCUGCAUUCCUUAUUUAUUUAUCUUCUACUCUUCUAGUCAAGAAUUGAAGGUUGGCUUUCUGUACCAAAUAGAGGAAAUAUCAAAAGAUAUGGCUGGAAGAAACAGUAUGUUGUGGUAAGCAGCAAAAAGAUCUUGUUCUAUAAUGAUGAACAAGAUAAGGAACAAUCCAGUCCAUCUAUGGUGUUAGACAUAGAUAAAUUGUUUCAUGUCCGACCUGUAACCCAAGGAGAUGUGUACAGAGCAGAAACUGAAGAAAUUCCUAAAAUAUUCCAGAUACUAUAUGCAAAUGAAGGUGAAUGUAGAAAAGAUAUAGAAGUGGAACCGGUUCAACAAGGUGAAAAAACUAAUUUCCAGAAUCACAAAGGCCAUGAAUUCAUUCCUACCCUCUACCACUUUCCUGCCAACUGUGAGGCCUGUGCCAAACCUUUGUGGCAUGUCUUUAAGCCACCACCUGCCCUAGAGUGUCGAAGAUGCCAUGUUAAGUGCCACAGAGACCAUCUAGACAAGAAAGAGGACUUGAUUUCCCCGUGCAAAGUAAGUUACGAUGUAACAUCAGCAAGAGAUAUGCUGCUGUUAGCAUGUUCUCAGGAUGAACAAAAAAAGUGGGUUACUCAUCUAGUAAAGAAGAUUCCUAAGAACCCACCAUCUGGCUUUGUCCGUGCCUCUCCUCGAACGCUGUCAACAAGAUCCACUGCAAAUCAGUCUUUCCGCAAAGUAGUCAAAAAUACAUCUGGAAAAACUAGUUAACCAUGUGACCUACUGCUGUGUUGGAAUCAUGUGGGAUGCUACCUGAUAAACCGAGCUGUUUAACCAUGUGGAACAGACAGGCUGUUUCUUUUGACACAAAUACCACAGGCUUUUCAGGGUUAAGAUUGCUGUUAUUCUGUCCUUGUUUUGGCACAAAAAGCACACUGAGGAUUGUCUUUUUUUUCUGUUGUUUUUUUUUUUUUUUUUCCUUGCGGGUUUGCCUACAGGUAGAUUAGAUUAAUUAUUACUAUGUAAUGCAAGUACAGUUGGGGAAAGCUUUGCUAGAUAUUUUUUUUAAGGUGCUGCCUUUUAAAUUUAUUAGAAAAUGCCUGUCAGUCAUGAUAGAACCGUUUUCCUCGUAUGAACAAGAGGAAGGAACUUUCACUUUCAGUGGAAUGGCCAUCACUAUCAAGAUCAGAUCGUGGAAGGAGUAAAGAAAAUAUCUCAAAAUGAGACAAGUUUUUCUGUUUUGUUUUGUUUUUUUAAUAACUAAGUUUUUUGUGCUCUUGCAAAACUAUUCAGAACUGUUUUAAGAACACAGUGAUGUCACUUUAAGCUCAGUGUCCUUACUGUAGAAUUAAAAGCCUUACUGUCGAUUGCCCACAGUGGGCUCUGUGGAGAAAUUAAAUAUCUUACAUUAUGCUUUACAAAAUAUUGUAUAUGUUUCAGCAACUUUGUAGAUUGGGAACUGGGAGAAGAGGAAAGAAUUACAUUUAAUCUAUGCAUUUUUGCCAAGCCAUAUUGAGUUAUUUUACUACUAGAGACAUAACUAACUGUACAAGAGAACCAAGUUUAAAAGCAUUUUGUGGGAUACAUCAUUUCUGUAAUUAUAUAAUGUAUUUCUUUGUGGUUUUAAGUGAAAAGACAUUAAGUUAACAAACAUAUAAAAAUGUAUGCACUGUUUGAAAUGUAAAUUAUUCUUAGAAUAUUUUCAGUGGAAGUUGCAUUACCCUAUUAGUGCCUUAAUUUGAGAGAAUUUUUUUACUGCCAUAAAUACAGACUUUUCAGAAAACAGAUUUUACAAAAAAUUAUGUGUUUUUUUCAUUGGUAAUUGGUUUAAUUUAAAAUAUAGAGGUUUGUCAGAUUUUUAUAAAUUGAGUACAACCUUUGUACCAAACUACCUGCUACAAUAAUGAAACUAUCUGCAAAAACAUAUACAGUUACACCAGUAGUAAAGAAUUAUGAAAUAUAUCCAUGAUGUUUUCCAGUUAACAUAGGAAUUACCAUAUAAAUACUGUUCAACUCUCCUCUGGUAACAAGAGUUGAUGUGUAUGGGCAGUGUGAUUUAUUGUUUAUUUUUUUAACCAAAUACCUCCUCAGUAAUUUAUAAUGGCUUUGCAGUAAUGUGUAUCAAAUAAGCACUGGAAAACCGAUCUUCUCUAGGGUGAUAUGCAUGUUUCAAGUGGUAUUGAAAGCCGCACUGAUGGAUAUGUAGUAAUAAACAUAUCUGUUAUUAAUAUGCUAAUGACUCUGUGCUCAUUUAAUGAGAAAUAAAAUAAUUUAUGGAUAGAUACUUUUAA